rnacentral:ncRNA from 1 species
UGAUAGAGGUGCGGUUUCAAAGAGUAGCUGGCUGUUUUCAGGAAACGGCAGGCAGCGGAAGGGGAGACCGCCGAGGAGCCGAGGGCCCGCCUGGGGCGCGAGGCAUCCGGGCUGCAGGAGAACAUCCUGCAGACUGUCGCAGAAAUGCGGAGAGCUAUCGU